rnacentral:rRNA from 1 species
ACCGUGAGGGAAAGGCGAAAAGAACCCCGGCGAGGGGAGUGAAAAAGAACCUGAAACCGUGUACGUACAAGCAGUGGGAGCACAGAGCAAUCUGUGUGACUGCGUACCUUUUGUAUAAUGGGUCAGCGACUUAUAUUCUGUAGCAAGGUUAACCGAAUAGGGGAGCCGAAGGGAAACCGAGUCUUAACUGGGCGUUAAGUUGCAGGGUAUAGACCCGAAACCCGGUGAUCUAGCCAUGGGCAGGUUGAAGGUUGGGUAACACUAACUGGAGGACCGAACCGACUAAUGUUGAAAAAUUAGCGGAUGACUUGUGGCUGGGGGUGAAAGGCCAAUCAAACCGGGAGAUAGCUGGUUCUCCCCGAAAGCUAUUUAGGUAGCGCCUCGUGAAUUCAUCUCCGGGGGUAGAGCACUGUUUCGGCAAGGGGGUCAUCCCGACUUACCAACCCGAUGCAAACUGCGAAUACCGGAGAAUGUUAUCACGGGAGACACACGGCGGGUGCUAACGUCCGUCGUGAAGAGGGAAACAACCCAGACCGCCAGCUAAGGUCCCAAAGUCAUGGUUAAGUGGGAAACGAUGUGGGAAGGCCCAGACAGCCAGGAUGUUGGCUUAGAAGCAGCCAUCAUUUAAAGAAAGCGUAAUAGCUCACUGGUCGAGUCGGCCUGCGCGGAAGAUGUAACGGGGCUAAACCAUGCACCGAAGCUGCGGCAGCGACACUAUGUGUUGUUGGGUAGGGGAGCGUUCUGUAAGCCUGUGAAGGUGUACUGUGAGGUAUGCUGGAGGUAUCAGAAGUGCGAAUGCUGACAUAAGUAACGAUAAAGCGGGUGAAAAGCCCGCUCGCCGGAAGACCAAGGGUUCCUGUCCAACGUUAAUCGGGGCAGGGUGAGUCGACCCCUAAGGCGAGGCCGAAAGGCGUAGUCGAUGGGAAACAGGUUAAUAUUCCUGUACUUGGUGUUACUGCGAAGGGGGGACGGAGAAGGCUAUGUUGGCCGGGCGACGGUUGUCCCGGUUUAAGCGUGUAGGCUGGUUUUCCAGGCAAAUCCGGAAAAUCAAGGCUGAGGCGUGAUGACGAGGCACUACGGUGCUGAAGCAACAAAUGCCCUGCUUCCAGGAAAAGCCUCUAAGCAUCAGGUAACAUCAAAUCGUACCCCAAACCGACACAGGUGGUCAGGUAGAGAAUACCAAGGCGCUUGAGAGAACUCGGGUGAAGGAACUAGGCAAAAUGGUGCCGUAACU